AGCAGAGGAGGCCGUGACGAUUGUUACGCAGAGGUGUGGUAGUCCCGAGUUGUGGGCCACGCUAGUGUCAUGUCGGCUGCUGACAAUUUAGUUAGAAUCAUAUAUAAGAACUGUGGGCUGAGAUAUUGAGGAGCUGUACUACCGGCUAUAAUCUAAGAAGAACCAGCGAGAUCAAGACUGGGUGCUGGUCAAGAUUGUGUGAAGUGCGCGGUAAUUAAUAUGAACGCUGAAAACAAUGAACAGUGAAAAGUUAAUAUUAUAGCCCAAAUCUUUAUAUGCGUAUUAUGUUUGUCUUCAUUAUUUUUUGUGCGCGUAUCAUACUUCGUAAAAUAAAAUACUAAUAGUA